UACGUAGGGUGCAAGCGUUAUCCGGAAUUAUUGGGCGUAAAGAGCUCGUAGGCGGUCUGUCGCGUCGGCUGUGAAAACCCGGGGCUCAACCCCGGGCCUGCAGUCGAUACGGGCAGACUAGAGUGCGGUAGGGGAGACUGGAAUUCCUGGUGUAGCGGUGAAAUGCGCAGAUAUCAGGAGGAACACCGGUGGCGAAGGCGGGUCUCUGGGCCGUAACUGACGCUGAGGAGCGAAAGCGUGGGGAGCGAACAGG
rnacentral:rRNA from 1 species